rnacentral:rRNA from 1 species
UAUGCUUGUUCUAAAGAUUAAGCCAUGCAUGUGUCAGAAUAUGUCUGUACAGACGAAUCUGCAGACGGCUCAUUACAACAGUAAUCACAUAUUUGACGUUUAUCACACGGAUAACCGUGGGAAACCAAGGCUAAUACGGUUGAAAGCCGCAACUGCGUUAGUGGGUGUGUAGUAUUUCCUGUUGUCUAAAUCAAAUGCGCGUAGCGUGUGCGAGGAAUCGCAGGAACUUUUCGAGUCGAAUAAUUGAUACGUCAUUUCGGUUUCUGACCUAUCAGCUUUCGACGGUAGGGUAUUGGCCUACCGUGGCUAUGACGGGUAACGGGGAAUUGGGGUUUGAUUCCGGAGAGGGAGCCUGAGAAAUGGCUACCACGCCUAAGGAUGGCAGCAGGCGCGUAAAUUACCCAAUCCUGAUACAGGGAGGUAGUGACAGAAAAUAGCAACUCAAAGCAUUCGCUUUGCUGAUUGCAAUGAGGUUCGUUUAAAACUUGUUCCGAGAAUCAAUUGGAGGGCAAGUCUGGUGCCAGCAGCCGCGGUAAUUCCAGCUCCAAUAGCGUAUAUUAAAGUUGUUGCAGUUAAAAAGCUCGUAGUUGGCCAGAUAUAUGAAUUUAAGCAAUUCCUUCAAGGAAAUGUGAAGUUUGUUCGGGCUUCAUGAGCCAGGUCCAGACAUAGGAAGGAUUGACAGAUUGAGAGCUCUUUCUUGAUUCUAUGGGUGGUGGUGCAUGGCCGUUCUUAGUUGGUGGAUUGAUUUGUCUGGUUGAUUCCGACAACGAACGAGACCUUCGCCUGCUUAUUAACCGUGCUUUCUUCCGACUGCACGUGUUCUUAGCGGGACUUUGUGCGUCACAGCAUAAUGAAGCGAAGGCAAUAACAGGUCUGUGAUGCCCA